CUUCAGUGAUGAUACGAUGACGAGUCAGAAGGGACGUCCUUGCGUGAGCGUAGGCUGGUCGGUGCCAUGUUCUGUGGUGCUGCGCUAAGGCUGCCUUGGGCAGGAUGUCGUACUCAUUGGAUGAUUUAGAGGCAUUUGUCUGAGAAGG
rnacentral:snoRNA from 1 species